AAAAAAACUCACUCUUUCUUCCUCCCCUCCCUCUCUCCAGCCGCCUCUCUCUCUCCCCAUUCUUCCCGGCGAGCCUCCCUUCUCCAUAACCGCCGCCACACUCCACCCUCUCUUCAGCCGUUACUCCUCCUCCCUUCUCUCUCCCUGCCUGAACUGCCUCUUUCUCUCCUCUUUCCCUCUCGUUUUACUCUUCUCUCCCUCUCUUUUCCUCUUCCCUCUUCCCGACGAGGAAGCUGCUGCGACCAGCAGCUGGACAGCAGCAGGGGAGAGCAGCAGCAGGCCAGAGACAGCAGCUGCUGGCAGCCGCCGCCCCUCUCCUCUCUUCCUCUCUCCGUUUUCCGGCAGCCGGCCCCUCUCCUCUCUUCCUCUCUUCCCCCGUUUCUCCUUCCCCGGUUCUCUUCUUCUUCUUUUGCAGGGAGAAGCAGCAACAAAGCAGCGAACUCCGACGAAAGUUUUGGAAAAUCAAGUUUGUGAAAAAGAAAGAUCCAUCUGGGUACAUUCUUUUAACUUUAUUAUCUCAUCUUUUGAUAAUGUUUGUUCUUCUUUCAUUUAUAAUUUGGCUGGGAUUUUAGAAUAUAAAUAUUGUUAUGCAUAUCAUGAAAACUUACUGAUUAGAUCUUAAAGUUUUGAAUUUAAUCGUUUAUGGGUUGUUAGUUCGUAAAAUUAGAGUUUUUUUAGAUUAAUUGCAGGCACAUAUAUUUCUUAACCUUUCCUUUUUAAUAAUAUGGUUACCAUUUGCUAGUGACAAAAUUGUGACUUUGAGAUCAAUUGUAUGCAUUAAAAGUAUUUGUUUCUUAUUCGAAUAUGAGCUAGAUUCUUGACUUAUUUUGUUUGCUAACAUUGCUCCCUUGAUAAUUGAUAUAGAUUGCUUAUAUAUUGUGUAACAUAUAUUUAUUCCCUCUUGAUGUAAUAAAAUAAUAAAUUGGUGAUUCAUUUUACCUCUCUGUUUUCACUCUGUAAACCUUUGAAAUUAGAAUAAUUGGUUGUCUAGCAUAAUUACGGCAUACAAUGCAUUGGGUAAUUGGUCAUGAAAUGUUGUUAUAAUUGUUUCUUUGUAAUUCAAUUUUGUUAGUACAUUAUCUGUGAUUGACUUCUUUCCAUCUAUCAUAACCUAUGGAGUUAGAGUAACUUUGUAACUUCGUAUUUGAAUCACUUGAUUGUCUUGUCGAAAAUGGUAUAAUAGUUUGAGUUAUAACUUAAUUUCAAUCCAAUUUAAUUUAUUUAGUUGAGAUCAUUAAGCUUAGGAUUUGCUUAUGGUAAGUAUAUAUUGAUCCAAUUGUGAUUUGUUAUGGUGUCUUUUAAAUGGUAUUUGUUGAUUUCUUGUAUCCCUUAAAAUAUUAUAUUCAUCUUUAGUUGAUUAUUUAUUACCUUGAUUAACUUUAAUAUUCUUACAUGUUGUAUUUUUAGAAAAGUGAUAUUUAAUUAAGUUAAGAGAAUUGCAUUGAUUUCUUACUUGCUUAUUUAUGGUAAAAUAAUAUUUUCUGAUUUUGGCUUCUCUUUAUUUAAGGAAAAUAUAUAUUA